rnacentral:rRNA from 1 species
AUUCCAGCUCCAAUAGCGUAUAUUAAUGUUGUUGCAGUUAAAAAGCUCGUAGUUGGAUUUCUGGUCGGGACGUCUGGCCGGCUCCGCAAGGGGUCGUUGCAUGGACUGUACUCGUCCAUCCUCAGGUCGACUAAUGCUGGUAUUAAUUUAUCGGUGCUAGAAAGCCUGUCGUUUACUGUGAACAAAUUAGAGUGUUCAAAGCAAGGUGUACUUGAAUACAUUAGCAUGGAAUAAUAAGAUAGGACUUUGGUGGUUCUUUUUGAUAUUUUGUUGGUUUGCACGCCAAAGUAAUGAUUAAUAGGAGCAGUUGGGGGUAUUCGUAUUCAAUUGUCAGAGGUGAAAUUCUUGGAUUUAUAGAAGACGAACUACUGCGAAAGCAUUUACCAAGGAUGUUUUCAUUA